rnacentral:rRNA from 1 species
UACAGAGGGGGCAAGCGUUGUUCGGAAUUACUGGGCGUAAAGGGCGCGUAGGCGGCCUGUUAAGUCGAACGUGAAAUCCCCGGGCUCAACCCGGGAACUGCGUCCGAUACUGGCAGGCUUGAAUCCGGGAGAGGGAUGCGGAAUUCCAGGUGUAGCGGUGAAAUGCGUAGAUAUCUGGAGGAACACCGGUGGCGAAGGCGCAUCCUGGACCGGCAUUGACGCUGAGGCGCGAAAGCCAGGGGAGCAAACGGGG